rnacentral:rRNA from 1 species
AACGAACGCUGGCGGCAUGCCUAACACAUGCAAGUCGAACGAACCCUUCGGAGUUAGUGGCGGACGGGUGAGUAACACGUGGGAACGUGCCUUUAGGUUCGGAAUAACUCAGGGAAACUUGUGCUAAUACCGAAUGUGCCCUUCGGGGGAAAGAUUUAUCGCCUUUAGAGCGGCCCGCGUCUGAUUAGCUAGUUGGUGAGGUAAAGGCUCACCAAGGCGACGAUCAGUAGCUGGUCUGAGAGGAUGAUCAGCCACAUUGGGACUGAGACACGGGCCAAACUCCUACGGGAGGCAGCAGUGGGGAAUCUUGCGCAAUGGGCGAAAGCCUGACGCAGCCAUGCCGCGUGAAUGAUGAAGGUCUUAGGAUUGUAAAAUUCUUUCACCGGGGACGAUAAUGACGGUACCCGGAGAAGAAGCCCCGGCUAACUUCGUGCCAGCCGCCGCAGUAAUAC